GGGGUAUCAUCUGUAGGUGACCUGCGGAAGGAUCAUUACCGAGUGCGGGCCCUCGUGGCCCAACCUCCCACCCUUGUCUCUAUACACCUGUUGCUUUGGCGGGCCCACCGGGGCCACCUGGUCGCCGGGGGACAUCUGUCCCCGGGCCCGCGCCCGCCGAAGCGCUCUGUGAACCCUGAUGAAGAUGGGCUGUCUGAGUACUAUGAAAAUUGUCAAAACUUUCAACAAUGGAUCUCUUGGUUCCGGCAUCGAUGAAGAACGCAGCGAAAUGCGAUAAGUAAUGUGAAUUGCAGAAUUCCGUGAAUCAUCGAAUCUUUGAACGCACAUUGCGCCCCCUGGCAUUCCGGGGGGCAUGCCUGUCCGAGCGUCAUUUCUGCCCUCAAGCACGGCUUGUGUGUUGGGUGCGGUCCCCCCGGGGACCUGCCCGAAAGGCAGCGGCGACGUCCGUCUGGUCCUCGAGCGUAUGGGGCUUUGUCACUCGCUCGGGAAGGACUGGCGGGGGUUGGUCACCACCAAAAUUUUACCACGGUUGACCUCGGAUCAGGUAGGAGUUACCCGCUGAACUUAAGCAUAUCAUAG
rnacentral:rRNA from 1 species